AGGAAGUGCAGCUCAGUUUCCACCUCAUUUUGUGGGCAGUGAGCACAUAGCCUGUCUUCUCUUGAGAGCCAUGUCUGCCUACGGCGGCCUUUCUCAAUAGCAAGGCUAUGCUCACUGAGUCUGUACAUAGUCAAGGCUUUCCUUAAUUUUGGGUCAGUCACAGUGGUCAGGUAUUCUGCCGCUGUGUACUCUCUGUGUAGGGCCAAAUAGCAUUCUAGUUUGCUCUGUUUUUUUGUUAAUUCUUUCCAAUGUGUUAAGUAGUUAUCUUUUUGUUUUCUCAUGAUUUGGUUGGGUCUAAUUGUGCUGCUGUCCUCUCUCUCUCUAUCUGACAUGUAGGACAUCUCUCUCUCUCUCUAUCUGACAUCUAGGACAUCUCUCUCUCUCUGACAUGUAGGACGUCUCUCUCUCUAUCUGACAUGUAGGACAUCUCUCUCUCUAUCUGACAUGUAGGACAUCUCUCUCUCUAUCUGACAUGUAGGACAUCUCUCUCUAUCUGACAUAACAUCUCUCUCUCUCUGACAUGUAGGACAUCUCUCUCUCUAUCUGACAUGUAGGACAUCUCUCUCUCUCUCUAUCUGACAUGUAGGACAUCUCUCUCUCUCUCUCUCUCUGACAUGUAGGACAUCUCUCUCUCUCUCUCUCUGACAUGUAGGACAUCUCUCUCUCUCUCUUUCUCUCCGACAUGUAGGACAUCUCUCUCUCUCUCUCUCUCUCUGACAUGUAGGACAUCUCUCUCUCUGACAUGUAGGACAUCUCUCUCUCUCUCUCUGACAUGUAGGACAUCUCUCUCUCUAUCUGACAUGUAGGACAUCUCUCUCUCUCUAUCUGACAUGUAGGACAUCUCUCUCUCUCUAUCUGACAUGUAGGACAUCUCUCUCUCUCUAUCUGACAUGUAGGACAUCUCUCUCUCUCUAUCUGACAUGUAGGACAUCUCUCUCUCUAUCUGACAUGUAGGACAUCUCUCUCUAUCUGACAUGUAGGACAUCUCUCUCUCUAUCUGACAUGUAGGACAUCUCUCUCUCUCUCUCUAUCUGACAUGUAGGACAUCUCUCUCUCUCUCUAUUUGACAUGUAGGACAUCUCUCUCUCUCUCUAUCUGACAUGUAGGACAUCUCUCUCUCUGACAUGUAGGACAUCUCUCUCUCUCUCUCUCU
ensembl:lncRNA